rnacentral:rRNA from 1 species
GAGUUUGAUCCUGGCUCAGGAUGAACGCUAGCGGCAGGCCUAACACAUGCAAGUCGAGGGGUAACAGAGGUAGCUUGCUACUUGCUGACGACCGGCGCACGGGUGCGUAACGCGUAUACAAUCUACCUUUUGCUAAGGGAUAGCCCAGAGAAAUUUGGAUUAAUACCUUAUAGUAUACAGAGUUCUCAUGAACAUUGUAUUAAAGGUCACGGCAAAAGAUGAGUAUGCGUCCUAUUAGUUAGUUGGUGUGGUAACGGCACACCAAGACCACGAUAGGUAGGGGCCCUGAGAGGGGGAUCCCCCACACUGGUACUGAGACACGGACCAGACUCCUACGGGAGGCAGCAGUGAGGAAUAUUGGACAAUGGGGGCAACCCUGAUCCAGCCAUGCCGCGUGUGUGAAGAAGGCCUUAGGGUUGUAAAGCACUUUCAGUAGGGAGGAAAAGUUAGUCGUUAAUAACGGCUAACCCUGACGUUACCUACAGAAGAAGCACCGGCAAACUCCGUGCCAGCAGCCGCGGUAAUACGGAGGGUGCGAGCGUUAAUCGGAAUUACUGGGCGUAAAGCGCGCGUAGGCGGCCUGAUAAGUUGGAUGUGAAAGCCCUGGGCUCAACCUAGGAACUGCAUUCAAAACUAACUCACUAGAGUACGAUAGAGGGAGGUAGAAUUCAUAGUGUAGCGGUGGAAUGCGUAGAUAUUAUGAAGAAUACCAGUGGCGAAGGCGGCCUCCUGGAUCUGUACUGACACUGAGGUGCGAAAGCGUGGGCAGCAAACAGGAUUAGAUACCCUGGUAGUCCACGCCGUAAACGAUGACAACUAGCUGUUGGGAGACAAUGUCUUUCAGUGGCGCAGCUAACGUUUUAAGUUGUCCGCCUGGGGAGUACGGCCGCAAGGCUAAAACUCAAAUGAAUUGACGGGGGCCCGCACAAGCGGUGGAGCAUGUGGUUUAAUUCGAUGCAACGCGAAGAACCUUACCAGGUCUUGACAUCCAGAGAAUCAUUUAGAAUGAGAGAGUGCCUUCGGGAACCGAGUGACAGGUGCUGCAUGGCUGUCGUCAGCUCGUGUUGUGAAAUGUUGGGUUAAGUCCCGUAACGAGCGCAACCCUUGUCCUUAUUUGCCAGCACGUAAGUUGGGCACUCUAGGGAGACUGCCGGUGACAAACCGGAGGAAGGUGGGGACGACGUCAAGUCAUCAUGGCCCUUACGACCAGGGCUACACACUUGCUACAAUGGAGCGUACAAAGGGUUGCGACCCCGCGAGGGUAAGCUAAUCCCAUAAAACGUUUCGUAGUCCGGAUCGCAGUCUGCAACUCGACUGCGUGAAGUCGGAAUCGCUAGUAAUCGUAGAUCAGAAUGCUACGGUGAAUACGUUCCCGGGCCUUGUAUAUACCGCCCGUCACACCAUGGGAGUGGGUUGCAAAAGAAGUGGGUAGACUAACCUUUGGGAGGUCGCUCACCACUUUGUGAUUCAUGACUGGGGUGAAGUCGGAACAAGGUAACC